AGAGUUUGAUCCUGGCUCAAGAUGAACGCUGGCGGCGUGCCUAAUACAUGCAAGUCGGACGCAAUGCUUCGGCAUUGAGUGGCGAACGGGUGAGUAAUACAUAAGCAACCUGCCCCUGUGAGGGGGAUAACUGCUGGAAACGGCAGCUAAGACCGCAUAGGCAUACAUGACGCAUGUCGAGUAUGUUAAAUAUCCUACGGGAUAGCACAGGGAUGGGCUUAUGGCGCAUUACCUAGCUGGUGAGGUAGAGGCUCACCAGGGCGACGAUGCGUAGCCGGCCUGAGAGGGUGGACGGCCACACUGGGACUGAGACACGGCCCAAGACUCCUACGGGAGGCAGCAGUAGGGAAAUUUUCGGCAAUGGGCGAAAGCCUGACCGAGCAACGCCGCGUGAAGGAAGAAGUCAUUCGUGAUGUAAACUUCUGUUAUAAAGGAAGAACGGCGCCUGUAGGGAAUGACAGGCGAGUGACGGUACUUUAUGAGGAAGCCACGGCUAACUACGUGCCAGCAGCCGCGGUAAUACGUAGGUGGCGAGCGUUAUCCGGAAUCAUUGGGCGUAAAGAGGGAGCAGGCGGCAGUGCAGGUCUGCGGUGAAAGCCCGAAGCUAAACUUCGGUAAGCCGUGGAAACCGCACAGCUAGAGAGCAUCAGAGGAUCGCGGAAUUCCAUGUGUAGCGGUGAAAUGCGUAGAUAUAUGGAGGAACACCAGUGGCGAAGGCGGCGGUCUGGGGUGCAGCUGACGCUCAGUCCCGAAAGCGUGGGGAGCAAAUAGGAUUAGAUACCCUAGUAGUCCACGCCGUAAAC
rnacentral:rRNA from 1 species